GGUACCCCACUGAAAAACACCAAGCAGGAGAAAUAUUUAGGAAAACAUGUUUGCACAAUAUCUUGCUGAGUAAUAUCAACACAGACCAUAUGAACUGACCCAGUAAUCUGUUGCUAUCUGAAUGUCACAGAACUUGAAGGCAUAAUGGAGUUUUGAACAGUAAAAUUGCUUUCUGCUUUUUCAUAGUCGUUUGGCUAUUUGAGAGAAAAAAGACACAGCAGACAGUGCGGCACUGCUACAGGGAGAGAGCUGUUGUUUGGGAUUGGGAAUGAUGAAGAGGAACACUCUGACAGAGCAAUUCAUCUUAUCUGCCUAAAACUAGAACAGGCAGUGGGGGAUAAGCCUAACAGCUCCAGGUCUGGUUGAAACAAUGAUCAUCUUGUUUUGCUUUGCUGUGGCCCCAUAACUGCAUGGCAAAUAAACAACAAGAUAUUAAAAAUACAGAAUUUGAGGGACUGAAUUUUCAGGCUAAGAACCCAUGGAUCCAAUGAUACUUGAGAUGAACUAUCUGUUCUCAGUGCUUGUGUAAAUCACCCUUAUGACUGAUCUGUGAUGCUAAUUUGCUAAUUGCAGCUCUAAAAUUCAAAACUACUUCACCAUUUUUCAAAGGAGCUUUGGUAAACCCUGGAUUCCUCAAGGAACUGGAUAUUUUACUCUUAAUGACUAAAAAAAAAAAAAAAAAAGAUAUUGUCCAGUGAAACUAAUUUCUGAGAACAUACCAGACGUGUGUUGAAAGAGUACAAAUUGGAUUUGCCAUUCCCCACAGUCUUGUGUACUCAUUUAUAUUACCGCAGAAUUUUAAAUGCUAUCAAAACUGAAGAGGAAUAUUCCUCACCCAUCUUGCCUGCUGUAAGUACACAGGAUGUAAAGCAGCAGAAGACCUGGCUCAUACGUGUACAUGCAGUGCUCUGAAAAAUGUGGUAUGAUGCUAAUCUCAGCAAGAAGCAGGCUACCAAAGAGCUCAGAGGAACUGAGGAGGGAGGCAUAGCUAUUCCCCUCAGAAAAGGUCUGAUAUCUGUGGUUGGUACAAGGCUCUAUUAACUCCCUGGGUAGCAACAAAUUCCAGUUUUAUGUCAGACUGAGGUAUUGCA